AUUGAACGCUGGCGGCAUGCCUUACACAUGCAAGUCGAACGGUAACGCGGGGCAACCUGGCGACGAGUGGCGAACGGGUGAGUAACGCAUCGGAGCGUGCCCAAUAGUGGGGGAUAGCCCGGCGAAAGCCGGAUUAAUACCGCAUACGACCUAAGGGUGAAAGCGGGGGAUCGCAAGACCUCGCGCUAUUGGACCGGCCGAUGUCAGAUUAGGUAGUUGGUGGGGUAAAGGCCCACCAAGCCGACGAUCUGUAGCUGGUCUGAGAGGACGACCAGCCACACUGGGACUGAGACACGGCCCAGACUCCUACGGGAGGCAGCAGUGGGGAAUUUUGGACAAUGGGCGCAAGCCUGAUCCAGCCAUGCCGCGUGCGGGAAGAAGGCCUUCGGGUUGUAAACCGCUUUUGUCAGGGAAGAAAAGGCUCGAACUAAUACUUUGGGCUCAUGACGGUACCUGAAGAAUAAGCACCGGCUAACUACGUGCCAGCCGCCGCGGUAACAC
rnacentral:rRNA from 1 species